AUAAAUCAUUAAAUAUAAAAGAUUUGGCGGUAUUUUAAAUAAUUAGAGGAACCUGUAUAUUAAUUGAUAAUCCACAAUAAGAUAAACUUAAUUACUUAUGUAUUGCUGUUUUUAGAUUAUUAUUAAUUAAAUUUUUAUUUUUUUAUUUUAAUUUAAUUCAAGUCAAAAUAUAGUUUAAUUAAGAUAUGGGUUACAAUUUUUUUUUGAAAUUGGAUUUAAUAGUAA
rnacentral:rRNA from 2 species